rnacentral:ncRNA from 1 species
AUGAUGGUUUGGUUGCUUUUCAUUAUAGAUCUUAUGGGACUUUUUUCUACAACAAAAUAGGCUCCAUAAUAUCCACAGGGGAUUAACCCACUACAAAUAUUAUAGAGCC